rnacentral:rRNA from 1 species
AACUAACGCUGGCGGCGUGCCUAACACAUGCAAGUCGUACGAGAAAGUUGGCUUCGGCCGAUGAGUAAAGUGGCGCACGGGUGAGUAACGCGUGGAUAAUCUACCCCUCAGUUGGGAAUAACUCAUCGAAAGGUGGGCUAAUACCGAAUAAUACUGCAUGACUUCUGUUGUGUAGUCAAAGAUGGCCUCUGCUUGCAUGCUAUUGCUGAAGGAUGAGUCCGCGUACCAUUAGCUAGUUGGUAGGGUAAUGGCCUACCAAGGCAACGAUGGUUAGCUGGUCUGAGAGGAUGAUCAGCCACACUGGAACUGAGACACGGUCCAGACUCCUACGGGAGGCAGCAGUGAGGAAUAUUGCGCAAUGGGGAAACCCUGACGCAGCAACGCCGCGUGAGUGAGGAAGGUUUUCGGACCGUAAAGCUCUGUCGAGCGGGAAGAAAUGCAUAAUGGCUAAUAUCCAUUAUGCUUGACGGUACCG